rnacentral:misc_RNA from 1 species
CACAAAUAUGAAAGCAGACCCUCAAUUGGGGCGUAACGUCACGCCGUGUCCGCAAUAAGCGUCAUUGCUGUUGUGCUGACGCGGCGGGGGGUAACGCCCUUUUGGGCCAGUCUGACUCCAUAUUCACCCAUGUCUUUUUGCGUACUACUUGUUUCCUUGGCGGGUUCGCCCGCCAAUUGGAACCCAAUUAAACCUUUUUUGUAAUUGCAAUUCAGCGUCAGCAAAACAAUGUAAUAAAUUA